CAUCCUUUUUGGGGCAAAGAUUAACCUAGCUCCCAAAUUAAGCCCCUGAGCUCCUCUAAUGUCUCCUGAGUUGCCGCCCUAUUCACCAUAGGGAUUCCUCUCCCAACACCUCACGCACUCGCACACCGGCGGCUACUCACGCACUCGCUUGCUGGCAACUACGCACGAGCUUACGAGGCGGCAAACGUUCACGCGCUCUCCCGCGCUAUAGAAGGGCGAACUACUCCUAAGCCUCACGACUCGCUAUCAUAUACAUUUUACUGUGUCACUCGGUUGCGUGGAUCGGCGUGGAUCAUCAUUGCCUCUGCCACUAAAAACCUUCGUGCCGCCGCCGCCAAAGCUUAGGUAAUUUUGAGCUCUAAUUUUUAUCAAACUUACAAGAAGAGAAUGGCACCUAAUAAGGUUUGGAUAGAUUUGGUUGAUGAUCGGCUUAAUGAGGCAUAUGAUAAAGGGAAAGGUCAGGAGAGCCUCGAUCUGAAUCUGAUGAUGAAAAUCCCGAGGAAAUAGAAGAAGAUAAAAGUGAUGGCAAGAUGGAGGAUAUUUUAAGAGAUUUAUAUCCAGAUUUUAGUGAUCUCGUUAUGAAUCAUGAAAGCGUUAAUAUCUCAAGUCAUGAAGAACAUGAAGAAGAACCCAAUGAUGAAGCUAGGAAAUUUUAUAGAUUAUUAAGGGAGCUUAAUCAACCAUUAUACUCGGCGAACCUCUAAAUUAUCUGUAUUAAUAAAAUUACUUCAUUCAAUAGUCUUGGGAAGUAGAGUAA